rnacentral:rRNA from 1 species
GAACGCUGGCGGCAUGCCUUACACAUGCAAGUCGAACGGCAGCGGGGGGAGCUUGCUCCCUGACGGCGAGUGGCGGACGGGUGAGUAACACGUAGGAAUCUACCUUAAUUAUAAUAGUUAGUGGGGGAUAACCCGGGGAAACUCGGGCUAAUACCGCAUAAUCUCUUCAAAGCAAAGCGGGGGAUCUUCGGACCUCGUGCUAUGAGAUGAGCCUGCGUCGGAUUAGCUAGUUGGUAGGGUAAUGGCCUACCAAGGCGACGAUCCGUAGCUGGUCUGAGAGGACGAUCGGCCACACUGGGACUGAGACACGGCC